GAUUCAGCCUAUACUUCCCGUUGACGUUGUGGCCCACUGUGGGGAUGAGCUUCACACGUCCCAGCAGAUCGUCGUCCCAUCUGUUGUCCCGGUCCCAAACCUCAAAUGAGAUUGGUCUGCGAAGGAAAUGCAUGUAGAGCUGGAUCCCAGAGAGGAACUCUUCUCUUUCAUGACGGACUGGCUGGACUCAAAGAUCUUACUGCUCAGGCUGCGGCGGCAAUGCACCUGAGGCCAGAGAGGAUUCUGGUGGGUCAAAGUGAAGUUUUUCCACCCACCUUGAUCCUCCAGUCCACCACGGACACGGGGAGCUUCUGGGUCUGUUUGAACAGGAAACAGUUCAUCUUCAGCAUCAGUGAUGCAGCAGUGAGCAGACAGCAGAACGUGACAAACCACAUGUUUCAGGAGCA